AAAAGAGGAUCAUGUCACCCCGGGACACCGACACCAUCAUAAAUAUGUUUGCUGAAGGAAGGAAAAAAAUGAACAGACCUCUUCCUACAGAAGUGAGAGUUGUAUGUGUCAGGAGAGAGAAAUAAGAUGAAUGUAGCAGGCAUGGCGUAGUUAAGCAUUAUAUGUGCUAAAAGAACAGAUUGUGUCAAAAUGAAUAGGUGAUAAAUAAAUGUGAAGGGACUGACCAUAAUGAAAGAAUUGUUUUGACUGGUUUAGUCAUAUUGAAAAUGAAUGAAGAUUAGAUUACAAAUCAAAUAUACAAAGGGGAAAAAAAUGAAAUGGAUGGGAUGGAAGGGGGAAAUUGAGAAGGCUGGAAGGAGAUGAUGCAUGGCUUAAAAGGGAGGGAUGGAAAAUGUAAAGAACAAAAGGCGAUGGAUAAAAGCAAGUAUGAAUAUGAUGGAGACAAGAUAAUUUGCAAAGGUGUGGUAUUAGGGUAAACUAGAUCUCUGUGUUUUAUUUUUCUGACUUCAUGUUUUUAUUUGGCUAUUUCUUUGUUCUCUUUUUCUGUUAUUUGUAUAAUGUUGCUUAACCCCAAAAUGGCAUACCAUGAAGACACAUAUGCAAUUAUGUUGAUAUUAUUUUUAAAAAUAUCACUAAGUGUCUGCAUUUGAGUACUAUCCUAUACAUGUCUAUUCAAAAGUAAACUCUCUGUAUCUGA